rnacentral:rRNA from 1 species
AACGAACGCUGGCGGCAGGCCUAACACAUGCAAGUCGAGCGCCCUAGCAAUAGGGAGUGGCAGACGGGGUGAGUAACACGUGGGAACCUUCCCUAUAGUACGGAAUAGCUCAGGGAAACUUGAAGUAAUUCCGUAUACGCCCGAGAGGGGAAAGAUUUAUCGCUAUAGGAUGGGCCCGCGUCGGAUUAGCUAGUUGGUGAGGUAAUGGCUCACCAAGGCGACGAUCCGUAGCUGGUUUGAGAGAACGACCAGCCACACUGGGACUGAGACACGGCCCAGACUCCUACGGGAGGCAGCAGUGGGGAAUAUUGGACAAAGGGCGCAAGCCUGAUCCAGCCAUGCCGCGUGAGUGAUGAAGGCCUUAGGGUUGUAAAGCUCUUUUAGCAGGGAAGAUAAUGACUGUACCUGCAGAAUAAGCUCCGGCUAACUUCGUGCCAGCAGCCGCGGUAAU